AGGAUAUAUCAGUUAUAAAAUAUCUUUUGACUCAUGAGAGAAGCUAAGACUAUUUCAGCAGACUUGGUGGCUAAGGAGAAAACAAUUACCACUUAUGUUUUGCAACUCUGAUAAAUAAGUUCCUACAGGAAGCUAAAAACGAAUGUUCCUGUGUUGGCCUUGAUAACCUUCCUUCCAUCACUUCACAAUAACUCUCAAGCUGCUGCAACCCUUCCUAUGCCCACUUCCACAAGCAAAUUUCAGAUCUUUC